rnacentral:rRNA from 1 species
CCUACUGAGAGCAGCAGUGGGGGAUAUUGCACAAUGGGGGGAACCCUGAUGCAGCGACGCCGCGUGGGUGAAGGAGUGCUUCGGCACGUAAAGCCCUAUCGGCAGGGAAGAAGCAAGACGGUACCUGACUAAGAAGCCCCGGCUAACUCCGUGCCAGCAGCCGCGGUAAGACGUAGGGGGCGAGCGUUAUCCGGAUUCACUGGGGGUAAAGGGUGCGUAGACGGGCAUGCAAGCCAGGGGUGAAAGCCCGGGGGCCAACCCCGGGACUGCCGUUGAAACUGGAUGGCUGGAGUGCGGGAGGGGCAGGCGGAAUUCCUGGUGUAGCGGUGAAAUGCGUAGAUAUCAGGAGGAACACCAGCGGCGAAGGCGGCCUGCUGGACCGCGACUGACGUUGAGGCUCGAAAGCGUGGGGAGCGAACAGGAUUAGAUACCCGGGUAGUC